rnacentral:rRNA from 1 species
UGGGGAAUAUUGGACAAUGGGCGGAAGCCUGAUCCAGCAACGCCGCGUGAGGGAUGACGGCCUUCGGGUUGUAAACCUCUUUCAGUACCGACGAAGCGCCGAUGAUGGUGGUGACGGUAGGUACAGAAGAAGCACCGGCCAACUACGUGCCAGCAGCCGCGGUAAUACGUAGGGUGCGAGCGUUGUCCGGAAUUAUUGGGCGUAAAGGGCUCGUAGGCGGUUUGUCGCGUCGGGAGUGAAAACCCAGGGCUUAACUCUGGGCUGGCUUUCGAUACGGGCAGACUAGAGGCAUGCAGGGGAGAACGGAAUUCCUGGUGUAGCGGUGAAAUGCGCAGAUAUCAGGAGGAACACCGGUGGCGAAGGCGGUUCUCUGGGCAUGUCCUGACGCUGAGGAGCGAAAGUGUGGGGAGCGAACAGGAUUAGAUACCCUGGUAGUCCACACCGUAAACGUUGGGCGCUAGGUGUGGGGCCUAGUUCCAUGGGUUCCGUGCCGCAGCUAACGC